AUAUAUAUAUAUAGAGUGAGGCUACUAUGCUAUCGAAAAUAGGGAGCUUUCCGUGCUUCCAGCUCGUUUUCGAUGUUGUGCGACUUUCGAAUCGUCGAUCGGCUCCGUUAAACUUGAUCUAAAGUAUUUGAAGUAACUAGAAAAUAAAUUUUAUGAUUUUACUAUAUUAUUUGCCUAGUGAACGAAAGGGCUCAAAAUCAACGGCUGAAAAUAAAAAUCUUACAAAAUGUAAUAAUAUGACAUUAAAAUUUUAAAUCAAAGAUAUUGAUCUUGUUUUACAGAGUAUAAAGAAUUUUCUAUCAAAAUUUCACAUGAUUUGGAUAUUUUUACACCAUUAAACUUGCAAACGGCUCACCACGGUCAUUGAAAUUCGUUGAUUUUGAGCCCCUUCGUUCACUAGGCAAAUGAUAUAGUAAAAUCAUAAAAUUUAUUUUC
rnacentral:lncRNA from 1 species